AGUGGGGAAUCUUGCACAAUGGGGGAAACCCUGAUGCAGCGACGCCGCGUGAGCGAUGAAGCCCCUCGGGGUGUAAAGCUCUUUCGGCAGGGAAGAUUAUGACGGUACCUGCAAAAGCAGCUGCGGCUAACUACGUGCCAGCAGCCGCGGUAAUACGUAGGCAGCAAGCGUUGUUCGGAGUUACUGGGCGUAAAGGGUGCGUAGGCGGCUUUUUAAGUUUGGUGUGAAAUCUUCCGGCUCAACUGGGAGGGUGCGCCNAAUACUGAGAGGCUUGAGUGUGGGAGAGGAAAGUGGAAUUUCUG
rnacentral:rRNA from 1 species